UUUCUAUUCAGGCGUUUCCUUUAAAAACAUAAGUCAGUGAAACGAUUAUAACAGUAUUCCAAUGGAUUUUUUAAAAGUAUUGUUUGUUGCAACUAACCCAUUAUCCAGGAUCAGGGUUGCACAAGGUGGCAGGGUGUAGAAAUAUAACCUCUCAUUAUAAUAUGUAGGGCUCAUUUGUAAUGAAGGGUAGCACAAUGCCUUCUGAAGAUCUGGAUGUUUUACAGCAAGUUUGAGGAUUUUGGUGACGUGAGAGUGCUGGGAUCCAGAGGAAAUCCAGAACUCAUUCUUGUGGACGUUGACAGCCGAAUGGAUAAAUUCCCGCCUCUCAUGGUCACUGAUGACUAUGAAAGGGACUUCAGGCUCCAGUUUCUUCUCCUGGGCAUAAUGACUGUAGAAUCCAACCACAUGGUGUUGUGCACUAGCCUGGAUGGCGGAUGGUUGCUCUACGAUGACAUGAAACCUUCACUGUUCAGGAACGUCAACUUGGAAGAUAUACAGACCAAGGGUUACGUGGCUAACCUGGCAGCCUAUGUCAAAGUGUCAGCAAAGAAUGAGAAGCAAGACUGAAGACACUCUGCACUCCUCAGAGAGAGCACAACUUCCUGCUCUCUCCUUGUAUGUAUGUGUCUGUUCUAGGAAUACUCCGAUCAGGGUUUUUGGGGCCAAACAACGGAAUCAUAAUCGGCCGAUACCAAUCAUGGGGUGGGUGGAGGGUAUUGGGAUGUUCUAUUAAUUGUGAAGCAUUAUUUAUCUACUACGUAUAGCAAUAAAAGUCACAAUUCUUGGCAGCAUCACACUGUGGCCAAGAAGCCAUUUCAGCAAGCUGCUUUUGCCAAAGAUGGCUGACAUAUCUGAUUGGCUCUUCUGAUUGGCCUUCAAGGCUCCAAUCAAAGCAUUUAGAAUUAAUAUCAGCCGAUAAUGAUUGCCAGCGAACUGUUCGGAGUAUCCGUAGACUGUUCAUCUUCUGAAUGGACUCACUUUUUUAUUUUACAUUUGGUCUUCUUAAUAGUGUGAAGAACUGACCAAAUUUCUUUUUUAUUCUGGGAAAAACUACUCCUGCUCUAUACUCCUGCUCUACUGCGAUGUAACAAGCGCGCACAGUUUAUUUAUUGAAGAACACAGGGUAAGAAAGGCAACUAAUAGAACAAGGAAUUAUGAAGGAAACAAACUAUGCACACUUGUCACUUUUAUUAUUUGUUGCUUCGUUUGUCCAGAGAAUGUUUUGUUAUUUCAUGAACAGAGACUUGCAUAGGUACUGUAUAAUUCAACAACUGAGGCCAGUGUGACCAACGAACAACUUAGACUUAAAAUGGACCAAGAAGUGUCAUGUGUAUUAACCGCAUAUCUUGCACAAUGUCCAAUGUGAAUACUGCCAAGCUGACUACCAAACUCAUCCAUGCAGAUGAGUCCUUUAACAAACCGCAUUAGAUAGCCAGUGGAGGACUACAGUAUGUACUGUAGAACAACAGAUGAUUACAUUUGGUCCCUGAUAUUUCAAAAGGUACCUGACUGUCUGAAUGUUUAAUUAAUUUAUUUGAAACUGAUUUUUUUAAUCUUUAGUAUGUACAAUAAGCUAUUUUCAAAGCUCUGGAUUUCUUAGAUUUAAGUAUUCCUAUUAAGUAUUACAGUUUUGAUUUUAUUUCAUUUUGUCAGUUGUUUUUUGACAGAAAAAACAAGCUUUUCAAGAAAUAGGAAAAACAAAAAAAGUUUUUAUUACUAGACCUGGUAACAUCAUAGUUACACAAAACUCUAAACUGGAUAUACAACCAUCUCUUCAAUUUAGAAUGUUCUUUUUUUGGUACACUAUUACUGUCUAUAUAACUACAUUAAUAAAUAUUUUCUGUUACUCUAAACUUCUACCAAGUAUUGUUCACCUGUAAGCAAUUGACUACUUUUUACAUAAAAACUUGAUCAAGGCUGCCUGAAAUCAGAAGCAAGGAGCCAACCAAAGCAGAAAAACUGUGACAGGUUCUCCAACAUGCUUGGAACAACCUCCCUGCUGAUUGUCUUAUAGAAUAAAGUCAAUUAAAAAUAGAA